rnacentral:tRNA from 1 species
GUGGUGGCUCAGUGGCAGAGCGCUUGCCUAGCAAGCGUAAGGCACUGGGUUCGAUCCUCAGCACCACA